AACGUAGGAGGCGAGCGUUAUCCGGAUUUACUGGGCGUAAAGCGCACGCAGGCGGUUCCGUUAGUCGGACGUGAAAGCUCCUGGCUUAACUGGGAGAGGCCAUUCGAUACUGCGGGACUUUAGGUUGGGAGAGGAGUGUGGAAUUCCCGGUGUAGUGGUGGAAUGCGUAGAAAUUGGGAGGAACCCCUGUGGCGAAAGCGGCACUCUGGCCCACACCUGACGCUGAGGUGCGAAAGCGUGGGUCGCAAACAGG
rnacentral:rRNA from 1 species